GCUGGGUCUGGAAGUGCCAUCCUGGAACCCUACAACUUCCAGCCUGAGGCAGAAGGAUAGAAAAUUAGAAUCCAAUCCGAGACCAGCCCCUUCCCAGAAGUUUUACACCGAGCCUAUCCAUAAUAGCACCUACCCCCGAUGUGACGAUCCAAUGCUGGUUGUUAACAGGUAUAGACCAAGAUGUAAGGAUAUAGAUACGUUUCUUCACACAAGUUUUGCCAAUGUUGGUGUGUGUGGCCAUCCAAGUGGCUUCUGCAAAGAGCAUAAAAGUGCAAACUGUCAUAACAGUUCAUCUCAGGUACCUAUAAUUGUCUGUAACCUCACAACUCCAGGAAGAACUUAUACCCAAUGCAGAUACCAAAUGAAAGGAUCAGUGGAGUACUACACAGUUGCCUGUAAGCCCAGAACUCCAUGGGACAGUCCCAUCUAUCCAGUGGUUCCGGUUCACUUGCAUGGGACAUUU
rnacentral:lncRNA from 1 species